rnacentral:rRNA from 1 species
CAUACCUAUUCGAAGGGAUAGGGUCGGUUCGGCCGGGUUUUACACAGGUGUUGCAUGGCUGUCGUCAGCUCGUGUCGUGAGAUGUUGGGUUAAGUCCCGCAACGAGCGCAACCCUCAUCCUUAGUUACCAUCAGGUAAUGCUGGGGACUUUAAGGAAACUGCCAGUGAUAAACUGGAGGAAGGUGGGGAUGAUGUCAAGUCAUCAUGGCCCUUAUGGAGUGGGCUACACACGUGCUACAAUGGUGGCUACAAUGGGCUGCAAAGUCGCGAGGCUAAGCCAAUCCCUUAAAAGCCAUCUCAGUUCGGAUUGUACUCUGCAACUCGAGUGCAUGAAGUUGGAAUCGCUAGUAAUCGUGGAUCAGCACGCUACGGUGAAUACGUUCUCGGGUCUUGUACACACUGCCCGUCACGCCAUGGGAAUUGGUUUCACUCGAAGCU